GGCCUGGUGCGUCAUGGACGUGCCCAUGUCGAUGCCGUGGGCGAUGCAGGUGGCGUAGGCGAUGACCAGGCUCGGUCCGGGCCAGGCCU
rnacentral:tRNA from 1 species